CCUACGGGUGGCAGCAGUGAGGAAUAUUGGUCAAUGGGCUACGCCUGAACCAGCCAAGUCGCGUGAGGGGAGAAUGCCCUUUGGGUUGUAAACCUCUUUUGUCAGGGGGCAAAGCCGGCUCCGUUUAGCCGGGCUGAGAGUACCUUGAGAAAAAGCAUCGGCUAACUCCGUGCCAGCAGCCGCGGUAAUACGGAGGAUUCGAGCGUUAUCCGGAUUUAUUGGGUUUAAAGGGUGCGUAGGCGGAAUGCCAAGUCAGCGGUAAAAUCGCGGGGCUCAACCUCGCUCCGCCGGUGAAACUGGCGUUCUUGAGUGGGCGAGAAGUAUGCGGAAUGCGUGGUGUAGCGGUGAAAUGCAUAGAUAUCACGCAGAACUCCGAUUGCGAAGGCAGCAUACCGGCGCCCAACUGACGCUGAAGCACGAAAGCGUGGGUAUCGAACAGGAUUAGAUACCCUUGUAGUC
rnacentral:rRNA from 1 species